CCUACGGGAGGCAGCAGUAAGGAAUAUUGGUCAAUGGNGGGAACCCUGAACCAGCCAUGCCGCGUGCAGGAAGACGGCCCUACGGGUUGUAAACUGCUUUUGCACGGGAAUAACCCUCAUUAUGUAUAAUGAGCUGAAUGUACCGUGAGAAUAAGGAUCGGCUAACUCCGUGCCAGCAGCCGCGGUAAU
rnacentral:rRNA from 1 species